GCUGACCAUCCUUAAACCCGUGAUAUCGGAGAUAUCCUAUCCUAAUAUCAGUAACGAUUGUGCUAUAAAACGAAAACAUUUCGCCAGUCUCCGAGAUUUUAUACCAUGAUUUGAUAUGAUCUGAAUAUUUCGCUUGUUUCAAAACGUUAUACUUGCAAAUUUUCAUUUUCCAUAUUUGAAUUUUUUCCUAAAUUUUUUUAGCUAUAAUGCGGCGGAUGAGAUGAAAUUAAACACGUUCGUGAAAUUCCGAACCUGCUGUGUUGCCCAGUAUGGGUGCGCGUACUGGGUAACCACUGCAGGGCCGCACAUACUUAUUCUGCACAGUAGAAAAGCUUUCCUGACUCUACCUAGUCAAUCUGGAUUCUAAAUAGAAGAUUUCAAGAAUGUUGUCACAUUGUUAUGUUUUGAAUCCCUUCCGUUCCCGUGUUCUUUUUUAAAUUCUAGCCGGUUUUCCAGUUUCCAUAUAAAUCUGUAAUGCUCCCAGACUCAAGCUGCACAGGUUUUUGUACAGUACGACAAUUUUUGUAGCACUCCGGUAGCCUUGCAAUACAGCAUCGCUGUUGGUUUUAAAAAUUUAUAGAUGAAGCUUCACGCUGCAACGUCGUUUCCCCCAAAUACGUCGUUCCUUCUCCUGCUAAUUCUUGCGCAGGAAAUCCCGCUCUAACGUGCCGCUCCCCGCCGCGCAACAUCCUCCCGGUGAUCUUGCUCCUCUCUGUGGCGGGGUUGUGCGUUUCUCUCCGACGUUAUCAUGCCAGUGCCGUCCCGCCUCGGAAUUCCCCCGCGUCAGAGACGGAGACCUCCGUGAUCACCUCCAUCAUGAGUGAUCAGCCUGCCCCCCGCCUCCUUCUCCGCCUAUGACGCCGGCCCGGGACGGUGCGUCACCGGCCCCCCUCUGGAGACCCUCUGGGAGCUAUCCCCAAGCAGCGCUGGCUUCUGGAGCUCCUGCAGUCCGCGCAGGACCCUGCGCGCCAACUGUAUCUCGAUGACAACAUCCCCAAGUCCCACCACCAUUAUCUUGUGUUGCCCCUGGAGCCCAUCGACACCGUCCAGGUUUGGACGGCGGAGCAUGUGCGUUGUUGCGGCAUAUGAUCCAGCGGGCGCAGUGCUUUGCGGAUGAGCAGAUCAGACCGAAAACGCAUUAUCCGGUGGUGCUGGGGUGCCAUACGAUUCCCACGUUUAUUCGCCUGCAUAUGCAUAUUAUUACUGUGGAUAUUUUUGGUGGCCAGGCACGGUGGUGCCGGCGGUCGGCGGUGGACUACCGAUCAUUCAGCCCACAGCGCGCUCUGCAUGGAGCUGGAACGCUGUUUUGGAGGCGGACGGCCAGAUCGUGGUGGACAAGGAGCAGGUGAAAGUGGUCAAGACGAUUUAGCUGAGCCGCUGCCGUGCGUUUUCUGCCGGCAGCCCUUUCCGACCAAAAAGAUGGCCGACCCGGCAGCACCUGGCCGGCCACGAGGCCAACCUGCACGCCGCCGAGACUGAGGAUACGGAUGCGGGUAAUGUCUGCCAGUUCCAGGCCGGUUAAAUUCAAUGACAAUUCUUACAAUUUUUGUUAGCCUACUCAUGAAUUUUGUGAUGGAUGCAUGGUCCGCCGAUGUUGCGACAAUUAAUUUAAAUUGAUUAUUCAGUUAAUUUGAAUUAAUUAGUUCGUUUUGAAGUAUUUAUUGUGACGGUUUAUUUUUAUUUAUUAUCGAUUAAUUUAUGGUGUAAAUAUGGAAGAAGAAUGUGUGGUUAGAAUUGUCGAGUCUGUCGAGAUAAUCCAGGGAAAUUCGUUAGGAAAAAUUUUAAAUAAAACGCCGGUUUCUU